rnacentral:tRNA from 2 species
UCGGAGCCUGCGGCGGCUGCUGCGCCGCAGCUGCCGGCUGUGUCGGCUGUGCCGGAGGCACCGGCGGGGGGUUCCAGGCAGCCGGCGCCGGU